GAACAGAUGGACUUGAAAUCAAGAGGAAAGAGUAAAAAAGUCCGCCAUGGUGGUCAACUAGGGAGUGAGAGUAAGGUUGAUGGGAAGGGCAAGACAGCUGUAAACUCAGGUUGGACAAGGAAAAGAAUAUUUGCUGAUCAAUAUGUUGAUGGAGAAUUAUCAUCCAACAUAAAAAGUAAAGACUUGUCUAAGAAAGGAAAAAGGCAGAUGAAUGAUAAUACCAUUAAAAGGAAAAAUAGCAAAGGACCUCCC
rnacentral:misc_RNA from 1 species